rnacentral:rRNA from 1 species
CGGAUUGUAGUCUGCAACCCGACUACAUGAAGCUGGAAUCGCUAGUAAUCGCGAAUCAGAAUGUCGCGGUGAAUACGUUCCCGGGUCUUGUACACACCGCCCGUCACACCAUGGGAGUCGGAAAUGCCCGAAGUCAGUGACCCAACCGUAAGGAGGGAGCUGCCGAAGGUGGAGCCGGUAACUGGGGUGAAGUCGUAACAAGGUAUC